UCUCCUGGAAACGGGUGGUAAUGCCGGAUGCUCCAUCACACCGCAUGGUGUGUUGGGAAAGCCUUUGCGGCAUGGGAUGGGGUCGCGUCCUAUCAGCUUGAUGGCGGGGUAACGGCCCACCAUGGCUUCGACGGGUAGCCGGCCUGAGAGGGCGACCGGCCACAUUGGGACUGAGAUACGGCCCAGACUCCUACGGGAGGCAGCAGUGGGGAAUAUUGCACAAUGGGCGCAAGCCUGAUGCAGCGACGCCGCGUGAGGGAUGGAGGCCUUCGGGUUGUAAACCUCUUUUGUUAGGGAGCAAGGCACUUUGUGUUGAGUGUACCUUUCGAAUAAGCACCGGCUAACUACGUGCCAGCAGCCGCGGUAAUACGUAGGGUGCAAGCGUUAUCCGGAAUUAUUGGGCGUAAAGGGCUCGUAGGCGGUUCGUCGCGUCCGGUGUGAAAGUCCAUCGCUUAACGGUGGAUCCGCGCCGGGUACGGGCGGGCUUGAGUGCGGUAGGGGAGACUGGAAUUCCCGGUGUAACGGUGGAAUGUGUAGAUAUCGGGAAGAACACC
rnacentral:rRNA from 1 species